rnacentral:tRNA from 1 species
AGCAGCGUGGCUCAGUGGAAAGAGCCUGGGCUUUGGAGUCAGAGGUCAUGGGUUCAAAUCCCAGCUCGGCCA